rnacentral:rRNA from 1 species
AUUGAACGCUGGCGGCAGGCCUAACACAUGCAAGUCGAGCGGAUGAAGGGAGCUUGCUCCUGGAUUCAGCGGCGGACGGGUGAGUAAUGCCUAGGAAUCUGCCUGGUAGUGGGGGAUAACGUCCGGAAACGGGCGCUAAUACCGCAUACGUCCUGAGGGAGAAAGUGGGGGAUCUUCGGACCUCACGCUAUCAGGUGAGCCUAGGUCGGAUUAGCUAGUUGGUGGGGUAAAGGCCUACCAAGGCGACGAUCCGUAACUGGUCUGAGAGGAUGAUCAGUCACACUGGAACUGAGACACGGUCCAGACUCCUACGGGAGGCAGCAGUGGGGAAUAUUGGACGAUGGGCGAAAGCCUGAUCCAGCCAUGCCGCGUGUGUGAAGAAGGUCUUCGGAUUGUAAAGCACUUUAAGUUGGGAGGAAGGGCAGUAAGUUAAUACCUUGCUGUUUUGACGUUACCAACAGAAUAAGCACCGGCUAACUUCGUG